UUGACAGGCAUGCUUCCCUUUCCCCUAGGCUUUCAGAAGAUCAAGCCUGCUCUGCAAUGUCUUAAACGCCUUUUAAAGGUAGGGUCAAUUUCCUACAGCCAGCUUUCUGUUUGUUUGCUUUAUCUGAAAUGAGGCUCCCACAGUUUGGUAAAACAGGGAGGAAAAGGGCCCACAUUCUGGCAAGACUUAGAGGCACCCACCCAAAAAUCCAUGCCCAGCAGAGGGAGCCUGGGACAGAAGACCACCCUUACUCCAACUCUGCAAACCUUCCAUGACAGUAUAACAGGAAUCACAUUUACAUAUUCUACUGGUGGAACUGAUAAUGUACAAGAUGAUUAAUGUGCUUCGAUGUACUGAUACCUGUAGACUGUUUGAUCAAUGUCUCACGAAGAAAGUGUCUUUCAUUCAGUAUGCUCAGAGUCCAAAAACACCCUGUGAUUAAUGUAACUAAAUGUUUGGGGUCAGCUGAAGCUACAGUUUCUGUUCCUGAUUCAAUAUCAAACUAAAGAGAGGUCACAGGAGAAUGGAUUAGUCAUGUGAAGAAAAAGUCUGGGUGUCUGACUUCAGAUAUCAACUUAAAAAAAGCUACAGAACAGUUACUACUACAGUAAUCCACAGAGUUUUUCACUUUGUUGUUAAACACAGAGCCCAACAUGCUAAGCCUUUUAAUAUCUGGAUAUUUUCACUAGACAUAUUA